ACGGAGAUAGCACAGUCAGUAGAGUGUAGCCUUCCCAAGGUUGAGGUCGUAGGUGCAAGUCCUGCUCUCCGC
rnacentral:tRNA from 1 species